CAGGCCCGGGCUUUGUCCACAAGGCCAUGCCGCUUCCCUCGGAGGCCCAGUCCAUGGGGUCGGGAACGACGACAGGACAAGGGACAGCGACCCCUCCCACCCACCUGCCCAGGUCUCUCUCUCUCCUUCCCACUUUUCCCCUCCCUUUUGGGGGGUCGCGGGAGGGUGGGGGGGCCAGCGGGGAGAUGGACGUGGAGGUGGGGGCGGGAAAGGGGCUGUUGGGGGGGCGUGUGAGUGUGUGCGACCACCCUCUCUCCCGUCCCUCCCCCCGCCCCUCCCCAGGCGCCGCCCCCUCCUCCCUUUUCCCUGCCGGUCCCCCCCUCCCCUGGCCCUCCCCGUCCCCGUCGGGGGUCGCAGAGCCCCGGGAGCUUCGGAAGGAGCGGCCCGAGGCCCGGGGGGGGGGGGUCGGUGAGGAGGGGGGCCGGAGAGCCCCCCCCUCCCCAAUCUGGGCUGGCCGCGGGGGGCGGGGUGGACACCUCCCCCUUUUGGGCUGCUGAGCUCUCCAUCCUCCUGGUCCAGAGAUGCCAGGCUGGGGUGCCCACCGUAGCCCCCCGGAGGCUCCCACCUUUCGGGACACCAUGUGAGGCGGCCCCCUCCCUUCGGGAGCAGGUGUCCCGUCCCCCCCCCACACCCCCAUCCCGGGGGAGGGGGUCUGGGGGUCAGAGGGCACGGCUCUGCCCCCUUCCCCUCCCGCCCCUCCUUCGGCCCCGAUGAUGCUCUUCUGCAACCUGAGCGCCAUCCGGGAUUGGGGAGCCUUCCUCUCCCAGAUCCUCCCCGGCGUGGACCUGAGCUCCUUGCCCGGGGGCAUGGGCCCGGUGGGGGGCACGGGCACGGUGGCGGGCACCCCCCCCGGCCGCCUCGCUGCUGGAGGUUCUGCCCCCCUCCGCCGGCUACCCGACCCUCCGGCCCAGCCCAGGGGGGCUGGGGGCUCUGCCGCCCUCCCCCCCCGGCCCCCCGCCGCCCCCCUCCCCCGGCCCGGGACCCCCAGACCCGGGACCCCGGACGGGACCUCCCCUCGCCCCCCCGCUCCCCACCCGGGACCCCCCUCCCCUGCCCCAGGCCGUCUUCUACCUGCUCACGGCCGGGCUGGUGCUGGUGGCCGUGGCCUAUGGCAUCGUAGGGCAUCUGCUCAAGGACCUGGUGCAAGGACUCAUCGGUGAGUCAGAGGGGAGGGGGGCAUCAGUCGGGGAGGGGGGCUGGGGGUCGGAAGCAUCAGCGUGGGAGGGGGAGGGCGAAGACACAGGGGGAGGAACCGGUCUGGGGGGAGAAGUGGG
rnacentral:lncRNA from 1 species